GACGAACCGUGCGAACGUUGUUCGGAAUCACUGGGCUUAAAGGGCGCGUAGGCGGGCUGCCGCGUCCGGGGUGAAAUCCCACGGCUCAACCGUGGAACUGCCUCGGAUACGGGCGGUCUUGAGGGGGGUAGGGGCACGCGGAACUGUGGGUGGAGCGGUGAAAUGCGUUGAUAUCCACAGGAACUCCGGUGGCGAAGGCGGCGUGCUGGACCCCAUCUGACGCUGAGGCGCGAAAGCGUGGGGAGCGAACAGG
rnacentral:rRNA from 1 species